rnacentral:rRNA from 1 species
AACGAACGCUGGCGGCAUGCCUAACACAUACAAGUCGAACGAGACCUUCGGGUCUAGUGGCGCACGGGUGCGUAACGCGUGGGAACCUGCCCUUAGGUUCGGAAUAACUCCCCGAAAGGGGUGCUAAUACCGGAUAAUGUCUUCGGACCAAAGAUUUAUCGCCUUUGGAUGGGCCCGCGUUGGAUUAGCUAGUUGGUAGGGUAAAAGCCUACCAAGGCGACGAUCCAUAGCUGGUCUGAGAGGAUGAUCAGCCACACUGGGACUGAGACACGGCCCAGACUCCUACGGGAGGCAGCAGUGGGGUAUAUUGGACAAUGGGCGAAAGCCUGAUCCAGCAAUGCCGCGUGAGUGAUGAAGGCCUUAGGGUUGUAAAGCUCUUUUACCCGGGAUGAUAAUGACAGUACCGGGAGAAUAAGCUCCGGCUAACUCCGUG